rnacentral:sRNA from 1 species
AAUGAAAGAAAAGAAAGGCAGUGUGAUUAUGCAACUACAGGGGGUAAAGGAUCAGUGAACUUUGACUCGAAUUCCAUUCAAAGAAAAUGAUAGGCAGGAGGAGUAGAGUAUGCAUUGCCACCAACAGAGCCAAUUUUGUUGUCAGUACCAGUAAAUUCUUGUAUCAUUAAUGUCACUCACUUUCAUGUUUUCUCUGGCAUUCUUAUGCCUCAAGGCUUUAAUGUCAAUGCUAACUGUUGUCAGCACUGUUUCCCAGGAUACAGUGGAGUCUCCUCUGCCAAUAGACAAUCCAUGGAGGAUUCAAUAACUAGCAGUAUAAUAGUCACUGUCACUCAUUUACAAGAGUCUGUAAAUUCACUACUAUGCAAAGGGAGAUCAUAGUGAACUUUGUUUGCAGAGCUGCUAUUCCGAUCUUGUCAUGGGGACAGCAGACCAUUGAGAGUCUUUUUAAAGUGGCUCAAUCUUGCCUUUGGAUCAGUGUGCUCUAGAAUCGCCUACAAUCUGCUCUAAACAUCCACCAACUAGUCUACAUUGAAUUUUCUUGUCCAAAAAUAGCGCCUCUAAGAACGGCCUCGUCUUGUUAAUCAGAAAGGCUGUUAUACUCAACCAGUGUACAGAGACUCCUUCUCAGCGGCAAAAAUCUCUUGAUGAAAUUCCACAGGAAACAAUUUAAGUGGAGCUUGAAGAUGAGACAGCAAUAAGAGAACUCAGAAUACAUUAAGCACCUGGCCCAGAAGGUCUUACGUCAGAAUUAAAAAAAAAUAGGACUUGAGUGGUGCUGCCUUCACGGAAAAGAGUUAUUCACUUCAUGGUGGGACAAAUGUACCGUACUAUCUCAGCUGAGCUCUGUGACUUCACCAUGAUAUCCUUGUAUAAAAGCAACUAUUCCCAACUGCUUUAACUAUCAUGGCAAUACUUAAGUAAAAGAAACCAAAAAAUCCUCGCCAGAAUACUCUUUGAUCGAUUGACCAACUCCAUAGUAAAUGAUUUGCACCCUGCAAGUAAAUGUGUUUCUUGAGCUGGUAGAGGUACAUUGGACAUGAUUUGUAUCAUUUGGCAAAUGCACCAAUCUUGUCAAGCGAUGGUUCGUGGAAGAUUCUUUAUCGGUUUGGA